AACACUGUCUAUCGGAAGGGUACCCGGAAAAUUUAAUUUCCGAUUCUCAAGAUUUGGGGAUGUGGUUUUUUCGCGGAUCCAGCGAUCCGCACUCAUCGUAACGAACUCGCGAUAGAAUCUUGUACCUGGUACGUACGUAUGUCGUACAUUAAAAACGAACAAACGGACGAUCCGUUCCCGGUUAUAAUAACGUUGUCUCGCUCGACUCUUGACGUCACAUCCAGAACCUUGAUUCAAUUAUAGAAAAGAAAAAAAAGAAACUGCGCUCCUUUUAUUUAUCGCAAGGAUUCCUAUCCAUUGUAUUUAACGACGAGUGAGUGAUUAGGAAUGUCUAAUGACGAUAACGGUCCGUGGUUGAGACCGAUGUACUUUUUCUCUCCAAACUUCAAAUCGCAGUGAUAUUGUUCGGAUGGAAAUUGUAUAUUUCAUUUCAAUCGAUCCCAAGGAGAUGUGAAGAUGAAUUUCAACGUUACCAAAAUUACCAACUUACCAAAGAUGUUCGAAAAGUUGCUUUUCGAACCGGAAAUUUAACUUCCAUAAGAUCAAAAAAUCCACUCUUGACCUUCGCGGGCUCUGCGAUUGGCGUACCAAAAUUUGCGCGGUCAUCUUUGAUAAUCGCACCGUUCAGAGAUAUAGAACACCAACAAAAAUUUCUCGCGAUCGGACAACGGCUACUACAUUCAAUUUCGAUUUGAUAAUUAUAAAUAACUCCUCAGAAUCUAAUUCUACCUCGUAAUCGUUCCAAUUAAUCAGUGAACUAGUUCUCGUAGCUUCGCUACACUCCGAUGAUUAGCAAAAAUUUCCAAAUGACAUGGUGUCGGCGUAAAAAUUGGUAAAUGUUUGGAAAAAAUAUUUAACCAGAAAGAGAUUUUUAAAAUGAUCAAUAGAUGCGGUGAUGUUAUGCGAAAAAAUAAAUAUACAUUGGUUGAAACACUUGCGUCAAAGCUAACAAAGAAUAAAAUCACUUUGUAUCAAAAGAAAAAAGAACAAAAAAAAAAAAAAAAAUCAUUGAAAAUAUAAAUAAAACGACGUUUGUAUAAGAUGAUAAAAAAAAAAAAAUUGAAGAAAUUAUUUCGAUCGUUUUUGAAACAUGCGGAUGAAUCGUGUCCCGACCUAAUUGCUUUAUAGUAUGUGUUUUACACGCGAGUUGUUUCACCUUCGCAUUUACCCGACAAGAGAAAUAAAAGAACAAAGAAAAAAAAAGAAGAAGUUAACACAAUAAAUUCUCAUAUUUGAUCCUAUACAGUGUUAAUAUUUGUUCACUCAAACAUUAUGAAUGCACAUAUACACGUGAGUCAUUUAUCUGGAUCAAAUGAGUAACUUUACGAUUUCAACAAUAAAAUCGACUCUUUGCUGAGAAAAUACAUAUGACAUAAGGCAAGUGAAUAUAGGCAUAGCAUACAAUUUUCAGAUAUUGACAAUUCAACCGGUGUACGAGUGUUUUUGGAUCGACGUUCUAUGAGAGCGUCAAAAUACGUAUUUAGAAACGAUACGGCUAAUUGAAUUAAAAUAAGUUCAUAACUUGGCCAAUGUGAGCAUAAUUCAGAAAUUAUCGUGACAGUCAAGGGUUUGUCGAAAUGGACGUAAAAAUUAGUGUGUAUUAUAUAUAUGAAAAAAAAGAUGAUCCGUAAACUUAAUUAGUAUGUACAGUUUUCUUCUUUGAUCGAUGAAAUUUUAUUGCAUUUUAUUCAUAUUUUUCCUCUGAUGAGCAAUGUAUUUCCUGUCUUUUAUUUUAUGCGUCGUGCGAUCAUAUGUAUGUACGAUGCCAACUGAUUUAUCAUGCGUACAGAAGUUGUCCUGUAGUAAAUGAUGUUCUUCGUCGUUAAUUAUCGCGAUAACACAUAUGAUGUACUCGCGUGUAUGUACAUACGUAAAAUAUUUUUGUGUCGCGUGAACAGUUUAGAUAAUACGGAAUAUUCGCUACGGUAAUUCGUUAUUUGCCGUUAUUUUAUUUUAUUUUAUUUUUUCAUUCAUUCACCAUAAAAUGGUGCACUAAAUUCAUAAGAAAUUUACGACAGAUAAUAGGCGAAUUUUGUAAAAUACUUCGAUAUGUAGUACACGCGUACGUAUAAUUGUACAACGAGUAUUGAGCAGGCUGAUAAAAUAAUCUGCUUAUCGCUUGGCACGAUGAAUAAUUCAUUUUACUACCUCUGCGAUAUAGUAAUUGUUACUA